GGAAGAUGGAGGUUUGUUCAGCUGUGGGGAUUCCUUCAAACGGCGGGGCUGGUUAACGUGUGUGGAGACCCACUGAAUCUUCAAGUUGUCCCAAAUGUUGCAAGUAGGAAGAAAACUGGGAAAGCCUCCUAACUGCCAUAUAAAUACACCCUCCCAUGAACAAAAAAAAACCCAGGAAAUAAAAAUCCAUGGAGAAAACUGUCAUGGCCUACAAAUAUCAGCACAUUCUCUUUCUUUCAGUUUCUUAGUGAAGUCUUGUAUAAUUUAUGCUUAAG